UAUUCUUCCUCGUUUAGUGCUUCAAGCUGAAAUGAAAAUAACAAAAGGAAAAAUUUUCCUUCAAUCUUUCGAAUUUCAUAAUUUUCAAUCCAGGGAUCCGACUAAGGAACGGUUUUCUCCUACAUGCUCAGUGAAGCGAAACUAAUGUUCGAAGCUUGUUCUUGCACGAUUUAAGGGCUUUGAAGCCUAUUUGAUGACUGGAGAAUGAUUUCUGACACAUUAAGGGACUCCAAUUACUCGUUGUGCUUGUGUUUAAUCGAGGUAUUGGUGAGGAAUAUUGAUUGCUUGGCUUGGAGACCAGGUAGGGGAAUCCUCACUUACCCUAGUUAUGGAAUUUUGUGAAUGUAUGUUUAUGUAAAUAUACAAAUGCCUGUGAAAGCUGCAUAUAUUUUGUUGUGAUAGAACCAUGAGGAAAAAUGGUUUUGUUUUAUAUCAUGAUAUGCAUGUUGUUUUAUGCUACAAAUUAAAGUGAUGACUUGAGAGUGAAGGGGGCAUAGCGACCGCCUUGGGUUUCAAUCCCUUAAACCUCCAGAAGUGCUACUACUAAGGGAUUAGUACCGCUACCUUUCUAGGAGAGGUACUAGGAUAUCUAAGGGUAGAGCAUUAAAGGACACUCUCGCUACACCUUGCCAUAAGUAUGUUCAUUCGGAGUUGGUCCAGGUAAGGGGGUACUUGGUCAUUGGACCAGUCAUCUGGCAUGUGGUGAUUUAUUGGGAUCCUUGUUUUCUUUUUAGAAGGAAAUUGUGUGAGCAUACAAUGUAUUUUCAAAACUAAACAAAGCUAUUGUUGUGCAUCAAUCAUUUUUCUAUAGUAUAUGUAGUGUCGUAUACUAUUUUCAAACCUUGUUGGGGUGGAUUCCCUGAGGGGGAGCGAUGAACGUUUUUGAUGCUCACCCCUACUUUAUUACAGGACCAGUGCACCUACAAAUAGACGAUUUGGACUAAAGUCGGGACAAGCGUUGUUUGUUACUUGUCAACUUCUUAAUCGCUCAUUGACUAUCCAUAGGUUUUUGGUUCGUACAUAUGCUUGAUUCCCUUACCGUCUUCAAUGAAUCUUUUGUAGACAAACUUAGCACUUUGUACUUUCCAAAUCCUACUAAAGAGUUGGUUUAGUAUGAUGAUUACCUUUAACUCUUUGGUUUUGUUGUAAACUUUGUUUUUGAUGUAAAAAGUUUAUCCAAAUUCCAUUGCCCUUUCA